GAGGAAUAUUGGUCAAUGGACGGAAGUCUGAACCAACCAAGUAGCGUGCAGGAAGACGGCCCUAUGGGUUGUAAACUGCUUUUGUAUGGGGAUAAAGUCAAUCACGUGUGAUUGUUUGCAGGUACCAUACGAAUAAGGACCGGCUAAUUCCGUGCCAGCAGCCGCGGUAAUACGGAAGGUUCGGGCGUUAUCCGGAUUUAUUGGGUUUAAAGGGAGCGUAGGCCGGAGAUUAAGUGUGUUGUGAAAUGUAGACGCUCAACGUCUGACUUGCAGCGCAUACUGGUUUCCUUGAGUACGCACAACGUUGGCGGAAUUCGUCGUGUAGCGGUGAAAUGCUUAGAUAUGACGAAGAACUCCGAUUGCGAAGGCAGCUGACGGGAGCGCAACUGACGCUUAAGCUCGAAGGUGCGGGUAUCGAACAGGAUUAGAUACCCUGGUAGUCCGCACAGUAAACGAUGGAUGCCCGCUGUUGGUACCUGGUAUCAGCGGCUAAGCGAAAGCGUUAAGCAUCCCACCUGGGGAGUACGCCGGCAACGGUG
rnacentral:rRNA from 1 species